GGAAAAGAGACCGCCUCGGAUCCAGUGCGCAGGUGCGAGAGCCAUCCUUGGUUAUAUAAGGGAGGUUUAGGCGCCCAUUCGUUCCUUUGCGUCGGGGGCGCUCGCGGUGUGGUGGUUGUGCGGCUUACAGCCAGGCUUCAUACGCUAUCGUCCUGCCCGUUAGAGCAGCCAGCGGGUAUAGAAUGGAUUUUGGAGGAGGGAGUCACCACUGGGCCUCCAAGGAAGCCACGUGCAGACAUCUACAACCUUCGAUCUCCUGACGAAAACUGGCGAAGGAAUAUGAGAGGAGUCCUCUGGAAAGAAAAGAACAGACCCUGUGCUUUCAUGAAAGUGAAGAUCUGGCUGAACCAGUUCCACAAGGUUAUUGUAUACAUAGCCUGGGUUUAAAAGGCUAUGCCCACUUUGAAGAAUGUCAUUGUUAGACUUUGCUGAAAUUUCUAACUGCCUACCUGGAUAAAGAAAAUAAAAUCUUUUAAAUCAAAA
rnacentral:lncRNA from 1 species